rnacentral:rRNA from 1 species
UCACUCCUUACGGGGGAGACAGUCAUGAGACGUGAGUAUAAGACCUGAGUGUAAAGACCUUAGGGUGAAGCAAUUGGAGGGCAAGCUUUGGUGCCAGCAGCCGCGGUAACUCCAACUCCAAGAGUGUCUAUGGUGGAUGCUGCAGUUAAAGGGUCCGUAGUCGUGAAUGCAAUUAAAUGUCGUUGUUCAAUAGCGAUGAGUUUGCUAAUGUUUGCGGAACGGAUAGGGAGUGUAGUAUAGACUGGCGAAGAAUGAAAUCUCAAGACCCAGUUUGGACUAACGGAGGCGAAGGCGACACUCUUAGACGUAUCUUAGGAUCAAGGACGAAGGCAGGAGUAUCGAAAGUGAUUAGACACCGCUGUAGUUCCUGCAGUAAACUAUGCCGACAGCCUGUGUGUGAGAAUACGUGGGCGGGAGAAAUCUUAGUGUUCGGGCUCUGGGGAUAGUACGCUCGCAAGGGUGAAACUUAAAGCGAAAUUGACGGAAGGACACUACCAGGAGUGGAUUGUGCUGCUUAAUUUAACUCAACGCGGGAAAACUUACCAGGGUCAAGUCAUUCGUUGAUCGAAUACGUGAGAAUGGCAGGAUG